AGCAGCCGCGGUAAUUCCAGCUCCAAUAGCGUAUAUUAAAGUUGUUGCAGUUAAAAAGCUCGUAGUUGAAUUUCGGGAUCAAUUUGCUGGUCGUGCCUUCGGUACGCACUGGUAUUAUUGGUUUCUCCUUUCUGAUGAAUCGCGAUGUCAUUAAUUUGGUGUCGUGGGGAAUCAGGACCGUUACUUUGAAAAAAUUAGAGUGUUUAAAGCAGGCUCACGCUUGAAUACAUUAGCAUGGAAUAAUGAAAUAGGACGUUUGAUUCUAUUUUGUUGGUUUCUAGGAUCGACGUAAUGAUUAAUAGGGAUAGUUGGGGGCAUUAGUAUUCAAUUGUCAGAGGUGAAAUUCUUGGAUUUAUUGAAGACUAACUACUGCGAAAGCAUUUGCCAAGGAUGUUUUCAUUAAUCAAGAACGAAAGUUAGGGGAUCGAAGACGAUCAGAUACCGUCGUAGUCUUAACCAUAAACUAUGCCGACUAGGGAUCGGAUGAUGUUAAUUUUUAAUGUACUCAUUCGGC
rnacentral:rRNA from 1 species